rnacentral:rRNA from 1 species
GUGGGAUUAGCUAGUUGGUGAGGUAAUGGCUCACCAAGGCGACGAUCCCUAGCUGUUCUGAGAGGAUGAUCAGCCACACUGGGACUGAGACACGGCCCAGACUCUUACGGGAGGCAGCAGUGGGGAAUAUUGCACAAUGGGGGAAACCCUGAUGCAGCCAUGCCGCGUGUGUGAAGAAGGCCUUCGGGUUGUAAAGCACUUUCAGUAGGGAGGAAAGGGUGUAACUUAAUACGUUAUAUCUGUGACGUUACCUACAGAAGAAGGACCGGCUAACUCCGUGCCAGCAGCCGCGGUAAUACGGAGGGUCCGAGCGUUAAUCGGAAUUACUGGGCGUAAAGCGUGCGCAGGCGGUUUGUUAAGCGAGAUGUGAAAGCCCUGGGCUCAACCUAGGAAUAGCAUUUCGAACUGGCGAACUAGAGUCUUGUAGAGGGGGGUAGAAUUCCAGGUGUAGCGGUGAAAUGCGUAGAGAUCUGGAGGAAUACCGGUGGCGAAGGCGGCCCCCUGGACAAAGACUGACGCUCAUGCACGAAAGCGUGGGGAGCAAACAGGAUUAGAUACCCUGGUAGUCCACGCCGUAAACGAUGUC